rnacentral:rRNA from 1 species
UGGGGAAUAUUGGACAAUGGGCGAAAGCCUGAUCCAGCCAUGCCGCGUGUGUGAAGAAGGUCUUCGGAUUGUAAAGCACUUUAAGUUGGGAGGAAGGGCAGUAAGCGAAUACCUUGCUGUUUUGACGUUACCGACAGAAUAAGCACCGGCUAACUCUGUGCCAGCAGCCGCGGUAAUACAGAGGGUGCAAGCGUUAAUCGGUAUUACUGGGCGUAAAGCGCGCGUAGGUGGUUCGUUAAGUUGAAUGUGAAAGCCCCGGGCUCAACCUGGGAACUGCAUCCAAAACUGGCGAGCUAGAGUAGGGCAGAGGGUGGUGGAAUUUCCUGUGUAGCGGUGAAAUGCGUAGAUAUAGGAAGGAACACCAGUGGCGAAGGCGACCACCUGGGCUCAUACUGACACUGAGGUGCGAAAGCGUGGGGAGCAAACAGG